AGUGGCGAACGGGUGAGUAACACGUGAGCAAUCUGCUCCUCACUCUGGGAUAAGCGCUGGAAACGGCGUCUAAUACCGGAUACGACGACCGAUGGCAUCAUCUGGUCGUGGAAAGAACUUCGGUGGGGGAUGAGCUCGCGGCCUAUCAGCUUGUUGGUGAGGUAACGGCUCACCAAGGCGACGACGGGUAGCCGGCCUGAGAGGGUGACCGGCCACACUGGGACUGAGACACGGCCCAGACUCCUACGGGAGGCAGCAGUGGGGAAUAUUGCACAAUGGGCGCAAGCCUGAUGCAGCAACGCCGCGUGAGGGAUGACGGCCUUCGGGUUGUAAACCUCUUUUAGCAGGGAAGAAGCGAAAGUGACGGUACCUGCAGAAAAAGCACCGGCUAACUACGUGCCAGCAGCCGCGGUAAUACGUAGGGUGCGAGCGUUGUCCGGAAUUAUUGGGCGUAAAGAGCUCGUANGCGGUCUGUCGCGUCUGCUGUGAAAACCCGAGGCUCAACCUCGGGCCUGCAGUGGGUACGGGCAGACUAGAGUGCGGUAGGCGAGANUGGAAUUCCUGGNGUAGCGGUGGAAUG
rnacentral:rRNA from 1 species